CUCGUCCUCCAAAUUGCCCUUCUCACCACGCUCAUUCUUGCAGCACUGCGCUCCAACGUUUCGGAGUCGAAGCGGAAAAUGGGUGUCUCAUCGGGGCCACCGUACGGAUGUGGGAGAUUUGUGAGUGGCGACGGAGGUGGCAAGAGCUACAUAGUGAGCGAUGCAGCAGUUUUUUCUGCCUCCCUGACAUGAGGCCGCCCUAUAAGUGCAGAAAACGGAGUCGCCACAUAGCUGCUACGAGAAGAGCGUCCACUGUACCUGAAGGCGAGGUGACCUCAGCAGUGUUUGGCCGUCGUCGUCCCGGUCGUGUUGGAGGACGACGAGCAGCUCUACUGAAAGCAAGUGUUGCUGCGCCGCAGUUCAGCUGAGGAAGUUUGUCAAUUGGCAACCCUAGUGAGACCGUACGAGGCGCCAACACAGCCGUCUAGGAUGCAGCACUACAGCCUGGGGCCGUCCCUCGCCGCAAGAGCUUACAGUGGUGUACAACCCGGACUCCUCCAGCCUCAGCCUGGAUACGCCUUCCAUAGCUCGAGACUGGACAUUACUCCAGGAGUCUGC